ACACAUGCAAGUCGAACGGUGAAGCCAAGCUUGCUUGGUGGAUCAGUGGCGAACGGGUGAGUAACACGUGAGCAACCUGCCCUGAACUCUGGGAUAAGCGCUGGAAACGGUGUCUAAUACUGGAUAUGAGCUGCGGAGGCAUCUUCGUGGUUGGAAAGAUUUUUCGGUUUGGGAUGGGCUCGCGGCCUAUCAGCUUGUUGGUGAGGUAAUGGCUCACCAAGGCGUCGACGGGUAGCCGGCCUGAGAGGGUGACCGGCCACACUGGGACUGAGACACGGCCCAGACUCCUACGGGAGGCAGCAGUGGGGAAUAUUGCACAAUGGGCGGAAGCCUGAUGCAGCAACGCCGCGUGAGGGAUGACGGCCUUCGGGUUGUAAACCUCUUUUAGCAGGGAAGAAGCGUGAGUGACGGUACCUGCAGAAAAAGCGCCGGCUAACUACGUGCCAGCAGCCGCGGUAAUACGUAGGGCGCAAGCGUUAUCCGGAAUUAUUGGGCGUAAAGAGCUCGUAGGCGGUUUGUCGCGUCUGCUGUGAAAACCCGAGGCUCAACCUCGGGCCUGCAGUGGGUACGGGCAGACUAGAGUGCGGUAGGGGAGAUUGGAAUUCCUGGUGUAGCGGUGGAAUGCGCAAAUAUCAGGAGGAACACCGAUGGCGAAGGCAGAUCUCUGGGCCGUAACUGACGCUGAGGAGCGAAAGGGUGGGGAGCAAACAGGCUUAGAUACCCUGGUAGUCCACCCCGUAAACGUUGGGAACUAUUUGUGGGGUCCAUUUCCACGGAUUCCGUGACGC
rnacentral:rRNA from 1 species